rnacentral:rRNA from 1 species
GCGUGAGUGAAGAAGGCCCUCGGGUCGUAAAGCUCUGUCAGGUGGGAAGAAUAGAGCCGCGGUAACGCGUGGCCUUGACCGCCACCAAAGGAAGCACCGGCUAACUCCGUGCCAGCAGCCGCGGUAAUACGGAGGGUGCGAGCGUUGUCCGGAAUCACUGGGCGUAAAGGGCGCGUAGGCGGCCUGGCAAGUCUGAUGUGAAAGCCCUCGGCUCAACCGAGGAAGUGCAUUGGAAACUGCUGGGCUUGAGUGCGGGAGAGGGAAGCGGAAUUCCGAGUGUAGCGGUGAAAUGCGU